UCCCAAUGAGGUAGACACAGAAAGC
rnacentral:piRNA from 1 species